ACACCCAGCCUAGUGGUUAGCGCUGAUGUCUAGGAAUUUUUCAUCGCGGGUUCAACCCCCGCUGGGGCUA